rnacentral:lncRNA from 1 species
CUAAAUCGGUCAAAUAAUGAUGAGGAGAUGGUUGGGGAGGAAAGCAAAUUGAAUUCAACCAUUGACAUAAAAGAGCAUGAAGAUUCUCAGGCUGUAGCUAUCAAUGGUGUUCAUAAUGAUUUGGAUAUGGAUCAGCAGAGGGACCUGGCAGAAGCUCAGGAAUCGCAAGACACAUGUGUGCAUGUUGCUGAAUCUGAGCUAAAUCGGUCAAAUAAUGAUGAGGAGAUGGUUGGGGAGGAAAGCAAAUUGAAUUCAACCAUUGACAUAAAAGAGCAUGAAGAUUCUCAGGCUGUAGCUAUCAAUGGUGUUCAUAAUGAUUUGGAUAUGGAUCAGCAGAGGGACCUGGCAGAAGCUCAGGAAUCGCAAGACACUAGUGUGCAUGUUGCUGAAUCUGAGCUAAAUCGGUCAAAUAAUGAUGAGGAGAGGGUUGAGGAGGAAAGCAAAUUGAAUUCAACCAUUGACAUAAAAGAACAUGAAGAUUCUCAGGCUGUAGCUAUCAAUGGUGUUCAUAAUGAUUUGGAUUUGGAUCAGCAGAGGGACCUGGCAGAAGCUCAGGAAUCGCAAGACACAUGUGUGCAUGUUGCUGAAUCUGAGCUAAAUCAGUCAAAUAAUGAUGAAGAGAUGUUUGAGGAGGAAAGCAAAUUGAAUUCGACUAUUGACAUAAAUGAGCAUGAAGAUUCUCAGGCUGUAGCUAUCAAUGGUGUUCAUAAUGAUUUGGAUUUGGAUCAGCAUAGGGACCUGGCAGAAGCUCAGGAAUCGCAAGACACUAGUGUGCAUGUUGCUGAAUCUGAGCUUAAUUGGUCAAAUAAUGAUGAGGAGAGGGUUGAGGAG